CAGCCGCCGCGGGAAUACGUAGGUGGCAAGCGUUGUCCGGAAUUAUUGGGCGUAAAGGGCUCGCAGGCGGUUUCUUAAGUCUGAUGUGAAAGCCCCCGGCUCAACCGGGGAGGGUCAUUGGAAACUGGGAAACUUGAGUGCAGAAGAGGAGAGUGGAAUUCCACGUGUAGCGGUGAAAUGCGUAGAGAUGUGGAGGAACACCAGUGGCGAAGGCGGCGACCUGGUCCUUUACUGACGCUGAGGCGCGAAAGCGUGGGGAGCAAACAGGAUUAGAUACCCCUGUAGUCCCUGUCUCUUAUAC
rnacentral:rRNA from 1 species